GGACUCAUUAAGACGCGAUGAAUACGUCCCUGUUCUUUGUACACACCGCCCGUCGUUAUCGAAGAUGAAGACAGGCGCGAACGAUCUACCAGAAAGUGAGCGCAGAUCUUUAGAUCUGAUACAAGUCGUAACAAGGUAGCUGUAGGUGAACCUGUAGCUGG
rnacentral:rRNA from 1 species